rnacentral:rRNA from 1 species
UACGUAGGUGGCAAGCGGUGUCCGGAAUUAUUGGGCGUAAAGCGCGCGCAGGCUGCUUUUUAAGUCUGAUGUGAAAGCCCACGGCUCAACCGUGGAAGGUCAUUGGAAACUGAAAGGCUUGAGUACAGAAGAGGAAAGCGGAAUUCCACGUGUAGCGGUGAAAUGCGUAGAGAUGUGGAGGAACACCAGUGGCGAAGGCGGCUUUCUGGUCUGUAACUGACGCUGAGGCGCGAAAGCGUGGGGAGCAAACAGG